rnacentral:rRNA from 1 species
AUUCCCCCACCAACAGGGCUGACAAAACUGAAUGUAGAUGCUGCAGUGGGGAGGGGAAGUAGACACGGCUCUAUAGCGGCAAUAUCAAGAGACUCUACUGGCCUCUUUUUGGGAGCAUCGGCUGUGGUUUUUGCAGGCAUUUCCGAUCCGGCCACUCUUGAGUGCAUGGCGACCAGGGAGGCGUUGUCCCUUGCGGAUGACCUGAAUGUUUCAACUACACAAGUGGCGUCCGACUCGAAGGUGGUGGUCUAG